rnacentral:tRNA from 1 species
GCUCUGGUGGUCUAGUGGUUAGGAUUCAGGACUCUCACCGCUGCGGUCCAGGUUCAUUUCCUGGUCGGAGAA